GACGAACGCUGGCGGCGUGCUUAACACAUGCAAGUCGAACGGUAAGGCUCCAGCUUGCUGGGGUACACGAGUGGCGAACGGGUGAGUAACACGUGGGUGACCUGCCCUGCACUUCGGGAUAAGCCUGGGAAACUGGGUCUAAUACCGGAUAGGACCGCACCGUGAGGGUGUGGUGGAAAGUUUUUUCGGUGUGGGAUGGGCCCGCGGCCUAUCAGCUUGUUGGUGGGGUAAUGGCCUACCAAGGCGGCGACGGGUAGCCGGCCUGAGAGGGUGGACGGCCACAUUGGGACUGAGACACGGCCCAGACUCCUACGGGAGGCAGCAGUGGGGAAUAUUGCACAAUGGGCGGAAGCCUGAUGCAGCGACGCCGCGUGGGGGGUGACGGCCUUCGGGUUGUAAACUCCUUUCACCAUCGACGAAGGGUUUCUGACGGUAGAUGGAGAAGAAGCACCGGCUAACUACGUGCCAGCAGCCGCGGUAAUACGUAGGGUGCGAGCGUUGUCCGGAAUUACUGGGCGUAAAGAGCUCGUAGGUGGUUUGUCGCGUCGUCUGUGAAAUUCCGGGGCUUAACUCCGGGCGUGCAGGCGAUACGGGCAUAACUUGAGUACUGUAGGGGAGACUGGAAUUCCUGGUGUAGCGGUGAAAUGCGCAGAUAUCAGGAGGAACACCGGUGGCGAAGGCGGGUCUCUGGGCAGUAACUGACGCUGAGGAGCGAAAGCAUGGGGAGCGAACAGG
rnacentral:rRNA from 1 species